rnacentral:misc_RNA from 1 species
CGAGUAUUAGGGUGCUCCGGCGCUCUUUACACACCCACCCUUUGCCUAUGUGUACCCUUUAUCGCUUCCUCGGCGGGCUCGCCCGCCGGCAGGAACCAAGCAAACCCCUUGCAUUCUACGCGAAAACUUCUGAUAACCACCUAAAUGAAUCA